GCCCGGAUGGUGAAAUUGGUAGACACGCUAGCUUCAGGAGCUAGUUGACGCAAGUCAGUGCAGGUUCGAGUCCUGUUCCGGGCACCA
rnacentral:tRNA from 2 species